rnacentral:lncRNA from 1 species
AUAACCCGACCCAUUUUUAUGAUUACACAUAACAUUGUACGUGUUUCCUAAACCUAAUCCCAUUGUCGUCGCAAAAUUAUCUCCUGCACCUGAAAAUUGUUGUCCAUCGCCAUUCAAAGCUAAGUCUUGCAGCUCUUGUGAAUUACUGAUCAUCUAGCAUAGUUUACUCCUACUAUUGACCUUGCCAGCUCUCAAAAUUGAAGGAUUCUUCUGCUCCUGUUGUUUCCUCUUCUUUAACAUCUCUUUGUGGCUGUAGAUGUACUCUCUGGUGUAAGAGUUGAAGAUCCCCUUGAUGUAUUGUUUUGAGAGAGCAUUCAUAGGAAUUAUUUGAAAACUGAGUAAGUACACAUCCAUCAUUUUCCUCCAACCUUCAUUAGUAGCUUCCGCUGCUCUUUGAAAUUUCACUCCCUUUUUGCAAUUGUUGUAGUAAUUAAGCUCCCGAGAAACUCAAAUCCACAUGCAAACCAGGUUUUCUACACUCCAUCAUCUGCGUUGAUCUUCCUCUUUGACCGACCUUUAUCUGUUAUGACUUAAGGGCUAGAUCUAGAACAUUCAAAGCUCAAUUUGUCAUUUGUAUGUAUUGUCCUAUAGGUAUUUGCAAACUUUAAACAGAUUUGCUCCAUUACUCUGCUAAAACUCUUAUUCUGAUAUAUGGACAUUGCAAUUUAUCACUAUUCAGUAUCUUUCUUCCAUGUGAUUGCAAAUGCUGAAAACUUGUGUAAACAAAAUCUCCACUGUCAAUUGCAAAAUUAGUUAGAUAAUCUGCCAAUUGAUUCAUCUCCCCCAGUAUGUGUUAAUAUUGAAAUUGCUUGCUCUGCAUUAGCUUCCAUAUUUGCUCUACUUGAUCUGCAAUGUGCCAAGGACAACUCCAUUCCCUAGUGAGAACUUUCUGCAUCAACAUUGAAUCUGUUUGGAUGAUUAACUUGUUUGUUUGAGUUACAUUAGCAUGAGUAGUUGCCUGUAAGAUAGCUUCAGCCUCUGUUAUCACAUUAGAAGUAUCAUCCAUUCUACCACCUUUUGAAUAAAUUAGGUCCUCAUUCUUAUUCCUUAGACAGAAUGUAUAUGAGUUUAUCCCCAGGUUACCUCUAAAUGCCCCAUCAGUGUUAUAGAUGACCCAUCCAAUUUGAGGAAAGGUCCACACAACCUUUGUAAUCUUUAUUUUUGGUUUCCUCCCUUCAAGAGCUUUAAGGAUAUCUGACUAGCUACUAGGAACUUUGUUCUUGGAUUUCUUACAUGCAGAAGUAAGCUCACAUUCAUGGUAAUAUUAAAGAUUACCUUAUGUAGAGACACACCUUUACUUUCAAACUUCAAGUUGUUUCUUCUCCUCCACAGUUCCUAUGUAAUCAUACUUGGAACUGACUGAUAGUAUGGCUUGAAUUUGCAUUUGACAUCCUUACUCCACCAAGUUAGAAUAGUGUCUCUAAGGGAUAGUCCAUGUAUGAAAAUACCUACACAUGAAGCAAAAUAGGACCAUGUCCCGUUAGCUAAAUUUGAUCUUAGAAACACAUGAGAUAGUGUUUCUUGAUCCGACUGCAAACAGCACCAAUAUUUUGUUGGUCCUUCAACCCUCUAUUUUCUCAUUAAAUAAUCCACCGAGACCUUUCUUUUCCAUAGUAUCCACAUUAAGAAGGUCAUUUUAAAAGGUAAACCCUUCACCCAAAUAUGAUUUUACAAUGCAUUCUUCUCCUAUUUUUGCCUUAUGUAUCCCAUACAAAUUUAACUGAGAAUUUACCAGAGAUUUCUAGCUUUCAAAUUGGAAUGUCCACUCCUCCCUCUUCAAUUCUGGAACUAAUCUUAGCUUGAAUAUAUGUAACAACCUCUUGAGGUAGAAAAUUCAUUAAUAAAUGGUAAUUCCAUUGAGAACCAGCAACCAGCUUCUUUACCUGCAUUCCUAUAUUUCCUUGCCUGAGAAAAAUAUUAAACAAAUCUUUAAUAGCUGUCCAAUUAUCCAACCACACAUUGGCUUGACCUCCUCUGAUCUUCCAUAGGAUUUGAUGAUCACUUGAGAACCAACACCAACUUUUCAAUAGAUUGCAUUAGGAUGUUGUUUCCUGCAAUACUUGUUGUGCAUGAACCUAUUCCACAUUGAAUCUUUAGUUCUGAAAUUCCACCAGAGUUUACAAAGAAGAGACAUGAGACAUCUUGUAAUCUUCUGAAUCCCAAUCCUCCUUCUUCUACUGUAUAGCAUAAUUUACUCCAACUAACCAGUGGCUACUUUUACCUCCAAUGUGCUUGCUCCAAAAGAACUAAGCAAACAUUCUUUGGAUAGCUGAUAGGACAUUAACUGGUGGGUUCAUGACAGAUAAACAAUGAAUGGGUAUGCUUUGUAAAACACUUUUUAUGAGAACAGACCUACCCCCAAAAGAUAAUAAUUUACUCUUCCAUCCUUGCAGCUUACUACUAAUCCUAUGCAUGAUUGACUGAUAAAACUCUUUCUUCUUCCUCAUAUGAAAAAUUGGACACCCUAGAUAAUUGAAAGGAAAUUGCUUUCUUGAUAUACCAGUAGCCACCUCUGCCAAUAUUACAGUGCCCUGAGAAACUCCUUGAUGCAUAUAAAUAGCACUCUUCUCUUUAUUAAUUUUUUACCCCGAGACCUUCUCAUACUAAUCCAAUGUAUCAGUGACCUUUUGCAAAGUAAUCAAAUCAGCUUUGCAUAAAAUGAUCAUAUCAUCAACAAAUCCAAAGUGAUUGACUUUAGGAUUUCCCCUGGGCAUGCCAAAUGGUUUAAAAUCUUUAUUACAAAAAAGAGCCUUAAGAGCUCUUGAAAAUACCUCAGCUGCAAUGAUAAAAAGUAUAGGUGAUAAGGGAUCACCUUGCUUCAAACCCCUUAUAGGCCUGAAAAACCCUUUAGGUUGGCCAUUCAAUAAUAUUGAAUACCAGUUAUUGUCCAACAGUCUAACCACCCUACCAAUUAGUAAUUCACUAAAUCCAACUUUCCUUAGGACUUUAGUGAGAAACAGCCAAUCCACUCUGUCAUAAGCUUUCAUCAUGUCAAACUUAAUGACUAUAUUUAGAACUUUGCCUCUUUUACUGAUGUCAGCUAUGAUCUCCUGCACCACUAAUAUACUCUCUGCAAUACUCCUUCCCUAAACAAAACCUGCUUGUUCUUCAGAGAUAACAUGUGCCAAAACCUUCUUAAGUCUUUCAUGCAAAAUUUUGGAGAAAAUUUUGUCGAUAAAAUUACUUAAAGAGAUAGGUCUCAAGUCAGAAAAUAUAUUAAUUACUAGUUUCUUAUGGAGUAGUACCAAAUUUGUAUGUGUGAUAAAUUUUGGUAACUGAUGUCCACUAAAUAAAUCUAGAACCAUUUGAUACACAUCCUCCUUAAUUAUUUCUCAUGCAUUCUAAAAAAAAUGCCCCUGUCAUGCCAUCUGGUCCAGUUGUGCUGCUUCUAUUUAGACUCAUAACUGUUUCUUUCACCUCUUGCAUGUCAGGUACUUUGUCUAUGUCUAUAUUCUAACUUUCAUUAACAAUAGUAGGGAUAUGUUCAAGCAUCUGAAAAUCAUCGUUAUGAUCUCCUUUAGUAAACUGCUUCUGAUAGAAUUAUUUUGCAGCCCCUGCAAUUAGAUUUGGUUCUUCCACCCAUUCUCCAUCCUCAUUCUAAAUCCUAUUGAGCUUGAGUCUUCUUCAUCUACCUUUAACCACUGUAUGCAAGAAUUUUGUGUUUCUUUCACCAUCUUUAAACGAAUCUAUUCCAGCCUUCUGUCUCCAAGACUUCUCUUCCCUUCCAAGUUGUAAACUUAGGAUAACUUGAGCUUUAAUAACAAUUCCCUAUUUGCAGCAGAUGGAUAUUCUUCAAAUUGUUUUUCUCUAACCUUGAUAACUUCUUCCAAUGUAGCUAUCUCUUGGAAAAUUUUACUAUAACACUCUCUACUCCAUUUAGUUUAAGCAGCCUUCACUCUUUUUAUUUUUUGAUAAAACAAAAUAAAAGGAUUUUCCAUAAUAUCAGUCUUCCAGUUCUCCUGAAUAAUUAUCAAGUAUGAUUCCUCUUUCAACCACAUAUUCAAGAACCUGAACAGUUUAAUGAUAGACUUUUUCUCAAUACUGAAGUUGAUUUUUAAAGGAGUGUGGUCAGAUCCACUCCUUAGUAAGUAUUCAACUUCCAAUACUAGGAAAGUAUGCAGUAACUUCUCAUUGAUCAAAAUUUUGUCAAUCCUUUCAAAUAUGCACUCCUCAUCUGUUCUACCAUUCCACCAAGUAAACUUGCUUCCUUUAAAACCUGGAUCCUCAACAUUACACAAACUUAUACACUGUUAAAAUCUUCAGUUUCAGCAACUUUUACUGGUAAGCCUCUCAAUUUUUCUUCCUGACUAGUUAUCACAUUAAAAUCUCCCCGUAUGAGCCAAAGAUCUUGCAUUUGUUGAGCCAUGUCUUCAAGAGAUUCCCAUAGAGCUAGUCUCUCUCUUUGUGAAUAUUUAGCAUAAAUUAGAGCAACCAUAACUGUGAUUCCAGCUUUCUGAUUCUCUAAUUUUAUUAUUAUUUAUUGUUCUUUAUCUCUAAUAAUAGUACACACUAUAUUGGCUUCCAAAAAAGCCCAUAUCUUACCAGAGAUAUUAGAGAUUGUUGUCUGCAUACCUAAUCUUCUGCUGUAAUCAUCAAUAGUCUUACUAUCUUGAAAAGGUUUCAUUAGUCCCACAAAUGCAAACUGGUACCUUUAAUGCAAUGUAAUAAGUCUAGUAAAUGCAUUUUGUGUGUUGACUGAUCUAAUAUUCUAUAUAAGAGCAUUCAUCCCAACUUAUUCUUCUUGGAGCUCCUUGUAUGUAUUGUACUAGUCUUCCCACCUUUGUGAUUCUUCCUUGGGAUGCCUUGUUUUUCUUUCAACCUAUCAAUUUGUUUAGGUGAUAAGUUGCCAUCAACUCCCAGCCUAUCUAUAGUCUGUUCCAAUUCAUCUUCAUCCAUUAUUGCAUUAUCCUUAUUACUGUACUGUAAUUGUUUUUCAACUUGCACAUCCAAAGGCAUGAUAUCUUCUAAAAUCUCCAUGACUUCUUUUUGAACAUCUGUCUGAAGAACAGCAACCUGCAUAUGACUCUUAUCUGUUGGAGAUUUUAGCAUUAAUGCACUGUGAUCUUCCUUUUCCCUAUUAUCAACUUGCUCUUGCUACCUCUUUUCAACUUGUUCUUGAUUACUUAUAACUAUCUCUAUGUUUUCUUUUGUUUGGUGCUACCAUUAAUUACUAAAGGUAUUAGUAACCCAUUUCUUUAUGCUCUCUAUGAUUUUUUGUUCCUUAUCCACCUUGUCUUGUUGAUCACCUUUAUUAUUCUCCACUUCAUGAUGUUCUUCUUCAAGGGCUUCAAAGGUGUUUAAAGUGGGCAUGUUAUUUACUUCCUCAUUCUGCACUUCUCCCAUUAUGUAGCCAAAUUUGUGUUUUAAUCCCUGUUCUGCCUUAAUGACCAUUGCAUUUUAUACAUCCCCCUCCUCCUCUAUGUAUUGGUCAUCUCUGGUACUUCUUUUACCCUGCCAGUUUCCUGCAUUUCUUUAUCAUCUUUAUUCUUUUCUUCAUCCUCCUUUUCCAUCAAUUCUGGAUGCAUAUUCCAGCAUGAGAUUUUAUCAUGUCCUUGAAGACAAUAUGUUUUGCAGUAUUUUGGUUUAUAAUCAUAAUGAAUAUGUAUCCAUUUGAAUUUUAUUUCCCUUGUAACAUCAUCUUCUUCAUUGAUUCGAACUCUUGUUGGUAAAUUGGCUACUAGAUCUACUUCAACCUUCACACAUGCACAACUUGGUCUCAUUUGAUUUUUAGUAUCCAUAUAAACCGUUAAAGGUUUACCUACUGCAGAGGCUAUUGAAAAAAUAGCUUCAUUUGCAAAUAAAUUGGGUGGUAGAUCUAGCAUUGAAAUCCAAGCUACUCCAAUGGUCGUUUCUACAUCAGGUUUGAACCAGGGAUCUAUAAUACCCCGUAUAUUUCUAAGCAAGGAAAUAAACCAUUAUUCCUACGUGUGAAACCACCUAUCCUGUGAUUCAUAUUUGAGUACAUGACUUACAAUGAGUAUCCUAGUGAGAAGAGAAGUUAUGAUGUGUUAAGCGUGUUUCAUAAGAGUCACUUAGAGUAAGGCAAGCUAAGAGCUUUCGAAUCCAUCAAGUUUUAGUGUUUGAUUUCGCAAGGGUCAUCUUUGAAUGAACAUAACUUGAUAUAUAUGUGGUAUUAUGGUAGGUUUAGACCCACCAUUUGUAUAGAAUCGAAUUAGCUUUCCAACAAUAUCAAUUUUACCAAAAUCCGACACCUAAGCAAGAAGUUAUGGCUUUGCAAAGUGGAGUACGCCGCCUAACAUAAGGUGUGCGACGCACAACCUAACUUAUGCCAUAAGGUGUGCGACGCACAACCUAAUGUGUGCUAUAAUGUGUGUGCCGCACAAUCUAGAUUAUGCGAUAAGGUUUACGCCGCAUAUCUUAUGGCCCAAGUGACGUAAACACUCCAUUUUUGGGUCAUUUUAAGGGCAAAAUGGUAUUUUUCACCCAUGUAUAAGCUCCUAAAAAUGGGUUUAGCCCCAAUUGAAGAAAAAUAUACUUCUAUUUCUCAAAAACUUUUCAAGAACAAGAUGGGUUCCAAUUGGGGGAUUCAAAUUCAAGAAGUUUCUCUGUUAAUCUUCGUAGGAUCACGAACUAAAGUAUGUAUUGUGUUGAUUUAUGGAUUUCUUUCAUCCAUAAAGCUCAAGAACCCUAUUUAAAUUAUGAAUCAUGUUAUUAUGUUGUGGGUUCUUCAAGUUUAUGUGAUGGUUGUUGUUUGAUUUCCAAGUUGGGAUCUUUAUGUGAAAUUAUGAAACUACGUUAGCAUAUAAAUUGAAUUUAUGAAUUUGGAGGUUUAUGAUUUGUAAAAUUUGAUGAUUUCACCUAUGCCUUAAGUUGUGCAUGUGAGGUGUUUGAUAAAAUGCCAAAAAGGGAUAUAAAUUAUGCCUUAGAGCUAAAUUAUGAUCCAAAUGAUAAAUGUAUGCUUUACCUUUAUUAUUAAAAUGACUUCUAUGAUAUUGUUGUGCAUUAUGAAUAUUUGAAGGAUUACUUAGGGGACUAGUUGAUGAAAUAUUGGUAUGUUGAUAUGUAUUCUGAUUCAUGUACAAUAUUAUGAUAAUCAUGUACUUUAUGAAAUCCUCAACUUAUUGUAUUAUGGAUUGCUGAUGUUGGUCAUGUAUUUAAGAAAGUCAUGCUUUGUCAGUUUCUUUCCAUCGAGUCCUGGGGGUACUUGUACUCGAAAGAUUAGAUGUAUGCUUAGAGACAUGUCAUGUUUUCAUGAUAUCUUCAAUCAAGCCAUGAUCCAUAGAAAUCAGUCAGUCAUGUGACUCAGAAAAGCUCAGUAAUUCAGUAACCUCAGUAAUCCCAUGAACUCAGACAGUUAUCAGAUAUCAGUAGUAUUUCGUCAGUCAUGAAAUUUAGUAAACCCAGUCGAUGUACAGUUCAGUUAAUCAUGUUCAGAGUCAAAUCAGAUGGGAGUAGGAAUUAGCCCCAAGUGAACCUAAGGAUAGGGACACACACAGUUAGAUGAGGGUGUGAUUCUUAAAAAUCAUCCUUGCAUUCCAGAACUAUGUAGCCAACAUAGGUUGAGACAUCAACAUUGUCCGAUGAGGGUUGAUAAAGUGGAUAAACACUGUCAGAUGAGGGUCCCUCUGUUCUCUUUUAGGGGACACUAUUGGAUGAGGGUCACCCACAGCUUGUCCUUACCGGUGGUGCGGUAUUGACACCCUUCCAAUUGGGGUUACAGAUUGAACCCCAACUCUGCCAUAAUGGCGUAUUAGGGGCAUAUCGGUUAGAUGACUACUUCCCACAGUUUCAUGUUAUAGAAUCAGGACUGUCAGAUACAGUCAUUCAGUCUCAGUAAUAAAACUCAGAUAGUUCUUCAGAUCUCAGGACUGUCAGAUACAGUCAAUUCAGAUACAGUAUGAAACUCAGCAAGUUCUAUCAGAUUCAGGACUAUCAGAUAUAGCCACUCAUAUUAUCAGUUAUAUCAGUUAUUAGAGCUCAGUCAGUAGUCAUGUUAGUUAUUAGUAAAUUCAUGUGAUCACGAUUUCAGAUAUAGUUACUAUAUAUACAUGUAUGUAUUCUCACAUUCAUAUUAGUCAGUUAGCCAGUAUUAUUCAUACAUAUAAACCCCAUGCAUUCAGCUUACCUCACAUGCAUACCAGUACAUUCAAAGUACUGACGUAUUUGCGCUAUGGUGUCUUAUACCAUAGGUUCAGAGAGACGAGUUCUAGAGCAUCAGUAGAUUCCAGUCUCAGUAUUCAGAGUUAGAAGUGAUUCCUCAUCUUUCAAGGACACGAUCAUCAUUUUAUUAUCUCAUUAGUUAAUUUAUUAGUUGGAGUUAGUUGGGGGCAUGUCCCAUCAACUUCUUAUUCAUACAAUCAUGUUUAGAGGCUUUUCAGACUACAGUAUGUUUAGAUAGCUUAUUUUAGUUUUGUUUUGGGUAUUUCAUACCCCAUCCAUAUGUUAUGAUUUAUCAGAUCUUAUGUUACAGUUUUGAACCUUAUGGCCUUUUAGUUCAUGUUUCUGCAUUAUAUAGUAUUUAUGUAGUAUACAGGUACAAAUAUCAAUCAUGGGUUAGCUUGUUGUCCUUUGGGGUCAUGAGCACCAUGUAACGUUCUGGGUACCAGAUUCGGGGCAUUACAAACUUGGUAUCAUAGCCUAAG